CACGUAGGGCGCGAGCGUUGUCCGGAAUUAUUGGGCGUAAAGAGCGUGUAGGCGGCCAAGCAGGUCAGCUGUGAAAACUCGAGGCUCAACCUCGAGAUGUCGGCGGAAACCAUCUGGCUAGAGUCCGGAAGAGGAGAGUGGAAUUCCUGGUGUAGCGGUGAAAUGCGCAGAUAUCAGGAAGAACACCCGUGGCGAAGGCGGCUCUCUGGGACGGUACUGACGCUGAGACGCGAAAGCGUGGGGAGCGAACAGG
rnacentral:rRNA from 1 species